rnacentral:rRNA from 1 species
UACGGAGGGAGCUAGCGUUGUUCGGAAUUACUGGGCGUAAAGCGCACGUAGGCGGCUUUGUAAGUUAGAGGUGAAAGCCCGGAGCUCAACUCCGGAACUGCCUUUAAGACUGCAUCGCUAGAAUUGUGGAGAGGUGAGUGGAAUUCCGAGUGUAGAGGUGAAAUUCGUAGAUAUUCGGAAGAACACCAGUGGCGAAGGCGACUCACUGGACACAUAUUGACGCUGAGGUGCGAAAGCGUGGGGAGCAAACAGG